rnacentral:sRNA from 1 species
AGAGCUUGAGCUUCCUCCAGGGCUGCACCUGAAAUACCUCCUCCUGAUCCUGUGUCCCCAUCUUCACCAGCCCUGACCCACAGGCCUGACAUCCUCAUCCUAGGGACCCUAGAGUCUGACCACCCCAGGAACCUGACCUGCUCUGUGCCCUGGGCCUGUAAGCAGGGGACGCCACCCAUGAUCUCCUGGAUUGGGGCCUCUGUGUCCUCCCCAAGCCCCACUACUGCCCGCUCCUCAGUGCUCACCCUUAUCCCAAAGCCCCAGGACCACGGCACCAGCCUCACCUGUCAGGUGACCUUGCCUGGGACAGGUGUGACCACGACCAGGACCAUCCGACUUGAUGUGUCCUACCCUCCUUGGAACUUGACCAUGACUGUCUUCCAAGGAGAUGCCACAGCAUCCACAGCCCUGGGAAAUGGCUCAUCUCUUUCCGUCCUGGAGGGCCAGUCUCUGCGCCUGGUCUGUGCUGUCGACAGCAAUCCCCCUGCCAGGCUGAGGUGGACCCGAGGGAGCCUGACCAUGUGCCCCUCACGGUCCUCAAACCCUGGGCUGCUGGAGCUGCCUCGAGUGCACGUGGGGGAUGAAGGGG